UCCGAUGUAGUCUAGCUGGUUAGGAUAUCUGGCUUUCACCCAGACGACCUGGGUUCGAGUCCCGGCAUCGGAA
rnacentral:tRNA from 1 species